UACGGGGGGGGCAAGCGUUGUGCGGAAUUACUGGGCGUAAAGGGCUCGUAGGUGGCCAACUAAGUCGGACGUGAAAUCCCUCGGCUUAACCGGGGAACUGCGUCUGAUACUGGAUGGCUUGAGUUCGGGAGAGGGAUGCGGAAUUCCAGGUGUAGCGGUGAAAUGCGUAGAUAUCUGGAGGAACACCGGUGGCGAAGGCGGCAUCCUGGACCGACACUGACGCUGAGGAGCGAAAGCCAGGGGAGCAAACGGG
rnacentral:rRNA from 1 species